rnacentral:lncRNA from 1 species
CUAUUAGGAUAAUUAAAUUAGGGAGUCUUACUAAAUAAUAGUAUAAAGAUGGUACUGAAGGAGGCUUUGCAACUAGCAAGGUAAUCUGUUUACAAUCCGACUGUGAUAUUUAUUAAAAGAUAUAUGGAUGUUGUGUUCUCUCAGACAAUAUAAAGCAUGCUUCUACAUUCUCUGCUAAAUUUGCAACUUUCAAUGUUUUGUGGGGCCUUUCCUCUCAACUGUAGGGAUUUUACCUCCCUGAUUUUUCUGUGUGUGACUCUAGCUAUUUUACUUCAUUUAUGUUGUUUGUUUUGUCAAUUUUGUUGAAGUUACUGCAGUUGACUGCUCUGAAUUGUUGAUCGUCCACCUUGAAGGUUAUAAUUGCUAAAGAAGCAGAAGGAGAUUUUGAAUAUUUGGUCCGACAACUUCCACCUGAUCAGUUUGAGAAUAAAAGCAGAAGAAUGCAUCCAGCGAGCAAUGAUUAAGCAUAUUCAUCAAAUAAAGCAUUAAAUAUACAAAGGUCUCCACAAGGUUUGCAUAAGAAGGUAAUGUUCCUUCUUUAAAUUGUCCGAGCUUGUGGGACGGAGCCAACUUUCGGACGUCUGUAUCAUGCAUGUUUAGGGCCUUGUCUCUAUAUUUUUAAUGUGAAAUCAUAGUAAUCUGUGAAUAAUAUUUGCACUUGUGUAAGCUUGCACAUUUGCUACAGCAGAGCAGAGUUGGUGUAGCAUCAUUAGUUUCUUUGUUGAUAUACUAACAAGUUACCCUGUGCAAUUUCUUGACUAUUUGGAGCUCUGAUCGCGUGCAAGAUUGGAGCGCCCUGUGCAAUUCCUCGACUAUUUGACACAGCGAGCGUCGAACGGGAGAGUUCUGAGAGGAGGCACGUCCACCAGGUGCAUCUCCUUCGUUUGGCCAAGGCCACCAGUGAAUAACAGUUGUGGAACCGCAUCAUUCACUUGCCUACCAUAGAUUGACGGGCGCUCCGCUCCACUACUCCAUCUCAUGUUGUAUAUUUCCUCUCUUUAUAUCAAAUAAAGUAUAGCAUGUAAAUAUGUUUAAAUUUAGAAAUAAUGUUUUCCCUUCUAUCUUCACUUAUACUGUUAGAAAAAUGUAACUAAAUUAAGUGGAUGCUCUUAUUUGAAGCCAGAUUAUAGGAUUAUUCCUCUGGUGUUAUUGAUGGUUUGAUCUAGAAUUUGGUAUGAUGUAUAACCAUCAGUUCAGUAGAUGGUUCCUUUAUAUUAUUUCAAAGGCUUGGCAAUGAAUUUGGAUUAAAGUUAUGGACAUGAUUCACUGAAAA